GGACAGUCGACGGCCAGAGGCCGUGGUAUGACGUCGGGGGUCAGCGGGUGCCGGAUGUAUUGUGCUUAAAGAGCUUGUAGGCGGCCAGGGAGGGCUGCUGGGAAAACGCGAGGCUCAACCUCGAGACGUCGGCGGAAACCAUCUGGCUAGAGUCCGGAAGAGGAGAGUGGAAUUCCUGGUGUAGCGGUGAAAUGCGCAGAUAUCAGGAAGAACACCCGUGGCGAAGGCGGCUCUCUGGGACGGUACUGACGCUGAGACGCGAAAGCGUGGGGAGCGAACAGGAUUAGAUACCCAGUAGUC
rnacentral:rRNA from 1 species